CGGCACGGGUGAGUAACACGUAUCCAACCUGCCGUCUACUCUUGGCCAGCCUUCUGAAAGGAAGAUUAAUCCAGGAUGGCAUCAUGAGUUCACAUGUCCGCAUGAUUAAAGGUAUUUUCCGGUAGACGAUGGGGAUGCGUUCCAUUAGAUAGUAGGCGGGGUAACGGCCCACCUAGUCGACGAUGGAUAGGGGUUCUGAGAGGAAGGCCCCCCACAUUGGAACUGAGACACGGUCCAA
rnacentral:rRNA from 1 species